CGCGAAAACGGAGGGAAGAAAACGCCGUCGCCCGCCCCCGCACCGCAGCCAGCCAGACGCUGGAACGAACGCGCGGGCGCCACCACCCACAUCACUGCCCUGCCCCAGCACCACCCACCCAGCGCGCCACGCCCGCCCACCACGCCACCACGCGGACCGCAGCCGCGCUGCAGCUGCUCGCGGACAGGGCAACAGACCUCCUCCACCUCCACGCGAGCGAGCGAGCGGACGACACGACGCGGCCAUCCCAUCACCCGUUGAGAUCCCUCUCCGCUCACCUUCCUCUCGAUGGUCUCCGCCAGCGCGCCGCCGCCGCCGCUGCAGUCCGAUGCGGCCGGGUCGGGGGAGGACGCGAGCAAGAAGGUGCGGAAGCCGUACACCAUCACUAAGUCGCGCGAGAGCUGGACGGAGCAGGAGCACGACAAGUUCCUCGAGGCCCUGCAGCUCUUUGACCGUGACUGGAAGAAGAUAGAGGCUUUUGUUGGCUCCAAGACUGUCAUCCAGAUUAGGAGCCAUGCACAGAAGUACUUUUUGAAGGUUCAGAAAAAUGGAACCAGUGAACAUGUCCCGCCUCCACGACCUAAGCGAAAAGCUGCUCAUCCAUAUCCUCAGAAGGCUUCCAAGAAUGAACCAAACUAUGGGCUCAAGACAGAUUCAUCUUCCAUCCAUAGGAACUCUGGCAUGAAUGUGUCUGUUUCUUCAUGGGCUCAUAGUUCCAUCCCACAAGCUGUUGCUUCAACGAUGGUGAAAGAAGAUUUAGGUGCUGGAACACCAGGUCCAAAUAAUUUUUGCUCAAGCAGUACUGAAGGCCCUCCAAGAACAUGGCAACCUGGUGAAACAAAUGAUCAAAUAAAUCAAGUUCCGUCACUCCGCCUUAUGCCAGAUUUUGCGGAAGUGUACAGCUUCUUAGGUAGUGUUUUCGAUCCAAGCACAAGUGGUCAUCUGCAGAAACUUAAGGAGAUGAAUCCAAUUGAUGUUGAGACGGCACUGUUGUUGAUGAGGAACCUAUCCAUCAAUUUGACGAGUCCUGAUUUUGAAGACCAAGUUAGCACGGAUUAAUCUUCAGAAAGUUAGUCUUCAGUAAAGAACUAAUCUGUGCCAAGCAUGUCAGCUACUCAGCUUAGCCAAGCGCAUCAGCACUGAGGAAGUUGUUGUCUUCAUAUAGCACUUCUGAUGGACUUCAGCUAGGGAGCUCCAGGAGUUCAGCUCUAGCGAUGAGUACGCCUUUCAUGUAAGGAUUAAAGGCGAAUAGUGUAGCCAGGUCUCUCGACAUAUAAUUUUCAGUUCGACAGACCUCAGGAUGGUGUGCCCUGGCGUAGCACCGAUGAGUGAUGAAGGCGCUUGCACCUUUGUGCUUCUCGCUAGCUUCAUGCCUUCGGCUGAAGAUUGUGUAAGGGUGCAGCCGUGUACAGUAGGCUUCUGAAAGGUGAGAUUGGUCUGCGGCCUGAUGUGUAUAUGUAAUUUUUGCCAGGAAGCGUGUAUACCCUUCCUGUCCUAUCAUAUCCCAAAAGCUCGGUCAUCUAGGCUCAUGAAUGCUGCUUCAGAUCAAGGCUGUCCUUGGAAAUGGAAAGAGGAAAGGAGAUUUUGAGUAAUGCCGGUUACUCCCUUUCCCAUUCGUUGAGUUCAGUUUCUGAUUGGUUUCUGGCUGCUCUCUUGAUACGAAACUGUGCCCCAUGUAGCCGUCCCCAUCUGACUGAGAAAGCAUGUGUGCAAGUUUCACUUGAGGAGUUGAGGCGAUCAUGGUACUGUAAUUCGGCUUAUCUUCCCCGUUCGAAUUUUUGCUGUUCCUAUGCAUUGUCUAUAUUGGAUCAGGUGUUGCCCUUGUGUAAAAGGAAAUAAAUUCACAAUGUAAAAAGGAGACUUGUGCUACUACCAUUUGAAAUCUAUGCAGUGUCGAAGCAACCCAGCGAUUUGUCUUUGCCACA